AGAGGGUGCAAGCGUUAAUCGGAAUUACUGGGCGUAAAGCGUGCGUAGACGGUUAUGUAAGUCGGGUGUGAAAGCCCCGGGCUCAACCUGGGAAUUGCAUUCGAGACUGCAUAGCUAGGGUGCGGAAGAGGGAAGCGGAAUUUCCGGUGUAGCGGUGAAAUGCGUAGAUAUCGGAAGGAACACCAGUGGCGAAAGCGGCUUCCUGGUCCAGCACCGACGUUCAGGCACGAAAGCGUGGGGAGCAAACAGGAUUAGAUACCCUGGUAGUCCACGCCAUAAACGAUGAGGACUAGACGUUGAGAGGGUAAGCCUCCCAGUGUCGCAGCUAACGCGAUAAGUCCUCCGCCUGGGGAGUACGGCCGCAAGGUUGAA
rnacentral:rRNA from 1 species